rnacentral:rRNA from 1 species
AGUGAACGCUGGCGGUAGGCCUAACACAUGCAAGUCGAACGGCAGCACAGUAAGAGCUUGCUCUUACGGGUGGCGAGUGGCGGACGGGUGAGGAAUACAUCGGCAUCUACUUUUUCGUGGGGGAUAACGUAGGGAAACUUACGCUAAUACCGCAUACGACCUACGGGUGAAAGCAGGGGAUCUUCGGACCUUGCGCGAUUGAAUGAGACGAUGUCGGAUUAGCUAGUUGGCGGGGUAAAGGCCCACCAAGGCGACGAUCCGUAGCUGGUCUGAGAGGAUGAUCAGCCACACUGGAACUGAGACACGGUCCAGACUCCUACGGGAGGCAGCAGUGGGGAAUAUUGGACAAUGGGCGCAAGCCUGAUCCAGCCAUGCCGCGUGGGUGAAGAAGGCCUUCGGGUUGUAAAGCCCUUUUGUUGGGAAAGAAAAGCAGCAUGUUAAUACCCCGCUGUUCUGACGGUACCCAAAGAAUAAGCACCGGCUAACUUCGUG